rnacentral:rRNA from 1 species
UCAAGUGUGAGAAGGGCAUUUGGUGGAUGCCUUGGCGCUAAGAGGCGAUGAAGGACGUGGCACGCUGCGUUAAGCCACGGGGAGCCGCGAGCAGGCUUUGAUCCGUGGAUAUCCGAAUGGGGAAACCCGGCCGUAAGGUCAUCUCUAUCUGAAUACAUAGGAUAGAGAAGCAAACCCAGGGAAUUGAAAUAUCUCAGUACCUGGAGGAAAGGACAUCAACAGAGACUCCCCUAGUAGUGACGAGCGAACGGGGACCAGGCCAGUGGCCUGUAUGUAAGAACUAGAACUGUCUGGAAAGUCAGGCCAUAGCGGGUGAUAGCCCCGUAUAGGUAGAAAGCAUACAGGUCCUUGAGUAGGGCGGGGCACGUGAAACCCUGUCUGAACGUGGGGGGACCACCCUCCAAGCCUAAGUACUCCUUAGCGACCGAUAGCGAACCAGUACCGUGAGGGAAAGGUGAAAAGCACCCCGAGUAGGGGAGUGAAAUAGACCUGAAACCGGAUGCCUACAAGCAGUAGGAGCUCCUCUUCGGAGGGGUGACUGCGUACCUUUUGUAUAAUGGGCCAGCGAGUUAGUCUUUGCAGCAAGCUUAAGCCGUUAGGUGUAGGCGUAGCGAAAGCGAGUCUUAAUAGGGCGAAUGAGUUAGAUGGAUCAGACCCGAAACCGAGUGAUCUAGGCAUGGCCAGGUUGAAGGUAAGGUAACACUUACUGGAGGACCGAACCCACAUCCGUUGAAAAGGAUCGGGAUGAGCUGUGCCUAGGGGUGAAAGGCCAAUCAAACUCGGAGAUAGCUGGUUCUCCGCGAAAUCUAUUUAGGUAGAGCGUCAUCCGAAUACCCCGGGGGGUAGAGCACUGGAUGGGUAAUGGGGCCCCACAGGCUUACUGAUCCUAACCAAACUCCGAAUACCCGGGAGUACUAGAUGGCAGACACACUGCGGGUGCUAACGCCCGUAGUGGAGAGGGAAACAACCCUAACCUCCAGCUAAGGCCCCUAAUUCAUGGCUAAGUGGGAAAGCAGGUGAGACGGCCAAAACAACCAGGAGGUUGGCUUAGAAGCAGCCAUCCUUUAAAGAUAGCGUAACAGCUCACUGGUCUAAAUAAGUUGUCCUGCGGCGAAGAUGUAACGGGGCUCAAGCCAUGAGCCGAAACUUCGGAUGCAUUUAAUGCAUGGUAGCGGAGCGUAGUGUGACAUAGUUCCAUGCGUCCUUCGUUUUAUAGCGGACUGCCCAGGCUUUCGAGCCUGUGUGGAGGCGCGUAAAAUACUGGACGCAAGGAGCUUUCUGUGAAGCCGGCCUGUGAGGGAUCCGGUGGAGAGAUCACUAGUGAGAAUGAUGACAUGAGUAGCGACAAAGAGUGUGAGAGACACUCUCGCCGAAAAUCCAAGGGUUCCUGCUUAAAGCUAAUCUGAGCAGGGUAAGCCGACCCCUAAGUCGAGGCCGAAAGGCGUAGACGAUGGGAACCAGGUUAAUAUUCCUGGGCCAGGAAGAUGUGACGGAUCGUGAAGGUUGUUCACCCUUAUUGGAUUGGGUGGGCCGCUAAUCGGUUCCUGGAAAUAGCCUUCCAUAAGAUCGUACCCUAAACCGACACAGGUGGACUGGUAGAGAAUACCAAGGCGCUUGAGAGAACUAUGUUGAAGGAACUCGGCAAAAUACCUCCGUAAGUUCGCGAGAAGGAGGCCCAGUUUCUACGCAAGUAUUGGCUGGGGGCACAAACCAGGGGGUGGCGACUGUUUACUAAAAACACAGGGCUCUGCGAAGUCGCAAGACGACGUAUAGGGUCUGACGCCUGCCCGGUGCCUGAAGGUUAAAAGGAGGGGUGAGAGCUCCGAAUUGAAGCCCAGGUAAACGGCGGCCGUAACUAUAACGGUCCUAAGGUAGCGAAAUUCCUUGUCGGG